rnacentral:rRNA from 1 species
AACGAACGCUGGCGGCAUGCCUAACACAUGCAAGUCGAACGAGACCUUCGGGUCUAGUGGCGCACGGGUGCGUAACGCGUGGGAACCUGCCCUUAGGUUCGGAAUAACUCCCCGAAAGGGGUGCUAAUACCGGAUAAUGUCUUCGGACCAAAGAUUUAUCGCCUUUGGAUGGGCCCGCGUUGGAUUAGCUAGUUGGUAGGGUAAUAGCCUACCAAGGCGACGAUGCAUAGCUGGUCUGAGAGGAUGAUCAGCCACACUGGGACUGAGACACGGCCCAGACUCCGACGGGAGGCAGCAGUGGGGAAUAUUGGACAAUGGGCGAAGGCCUGAUCCAGCAAUGCCGCGUGAGUGAUGAAGGCCUUAGGGUUGUAAAGCUCUUUUACCCGGGAUGAUAAUGACAGUACCGGGAGAAUAAGCUCCGGCUAACUCCGUG